AUUUUGUUUCCAUCUGAAAAAUGGAAGGGAUGCAAAUUGAGGAAAAAGUGGAGGUCGAGUUCUAUGGGGAAUUUGGUGGGGUGAAUAUCUUAUUCAUAUUGUCAUGUUCUGUGUUUGAUGAUUGAAGCCACAGGAGACUCUGCUCUUCGCAAAGGAAGGGAGUUGAGCAAUUGAAAUGCUCCCCUGACUUCCUUGUAAUUUUGAUCAAG
rnacentral:misc_RNA from 1 species